rnacentral:rRNA from 1 species
UCGGAGACGGUGCUCGUGCGGGCGGUGAUGCGACACGCGUAUCCGAAAGACUCUCGGCAACGGAUAUCUCGGCUCUUGCAUCGAUGAAGAACGUAGCGAAAUGCGAUACUUGGUGUGAAUUGCAGAAUCCCGUGAACCAUCGAGUCUUUGAACGCAAGUUGCGCCCGAAGCCAUUAGGCCGAGGGCACGCCUGCCUGGGUGUCGCCCAUCGUUGCCCCAGUGCCUUGGCCUCGUGCUAGGCACCAAGCUGGGCGAAUGUUGGCUUCCCGCGAGAAACGCCUCACGGUUGGUUGAAAACUGAGUCCGUGGUGGAGGGCGUCGUGACGGAUGGUGGUUGAG